GUACACUCCUGCGGGAGGCAGCAGUGGGGAAUAUUGGACAAUGGGCGCAAGCCUGAUCCAGCCAUGCCGCGUGAGUGAUGAAGGCCCUAGGGUUGUAAAGCUCUUUUACCGGUGAAGAUAAUGACGGUAACCGGAGAAGAAGCCCCGGCUAACUUCGUGCCAGCAGCCGCGGUAAUACGAAGGGGGCUAGCGUUGUUCGGAUUUACUGGGCGUAAAGCGCACGUAGGCGGACUAUUAAGUCAGGGGUGAAAUCCCGGGGCUCAACCCCGGAACUGCCUUUGAUACUGGUAGUCUUGAGUUCGAGAGAGGUGAGUGGAAUUCCGAGUGUAGAGGUGAAAUUCGUAGAUAUUCGGAGGAACACCAGUGGCGAAGGCGGCUCACUGGCUCGAUACUGACGCUGAGGUGCGAAAGCGUGGGGAGCAAACAGGAUUAGAAACCCGGGUAGUCC
rnacentral:rRNA from 1 species